rnacentral:tRNA from 1 species
CGAGGUGUAGCGCAGUCUGGUCAGCGCAUCUGUUUUGGGUACAGAGGGCCAUAGGUUUGAAUCCUGUCACCUUGA